GGGGGUGAUUGGUUUAGAUUAUUGCUCAACGCCCUAUAUGGGACGCAAUAAGACGGGGGUUCGAAUCCCUCCACCUCCACCA
rnacentral:tmRNA from 2 species